AAGGAGAAGCCAUAGGCAACAAACCACUAAAAUAUUCUUCAAUUCAUCAAAAUUAAUGAAAUUACAUCGCAAUUAGGUUUAAAUAGUAAAGACUAAAACUCUAAGUAGAACGGACUUGGGCCAACACAAGCCCAAUUAUAUAAAUAAAAUCUAAAACAUAAAUAAAGUCCAACUAAAAAUAAAUAAAAAGUAGAUGUCCUCAUCAACUCUCCCGGAGUGGGAGAAAAACUUGACCCUGUCGAGUUGAUAGCUAGUAUAGGCUGCAGUCAAUCUGAUACUUCAAAUGCGUCAAGUCAAGCUACGGGGGACGAUCUUUUUGACGAACCAAGUAAUGAAAUUCCAUGAUUGAUAGUGUUGGAAAUUGUAGCUUAUUCCUAGUAAUAUGAUAUGACCAAGGGGGGCGAUUUUUCCUUCUAACCAAGUACUGAUACUGGACUCCAAAUAACCAAUACUCAUGCACCUUAUCUUCAAGAUUUUCACAUGAUUGUAUAUAAUGAGGAGCAUAAGAAGCACGUCGAUCUACCCAACAAAUAAGGAAGUAUUGAAUCUUGCCAUCAUUGGUCAAUACAACACGUUUAUCUAAAAUAACAUCAAUUUUAUCUUUGUGUGCUGUGAUAGAUGGUAUUGAAGUAGAAAUAUCAAUAUAGUCAAGUUGGGGGUCCAUAAAGCUAAGUAGAAAUAGAUCAUCAAAGGAAGUAAAACGGUGUUUGUAAGUAAUGAAGUCCUCAAUAUUUAAACCAGAAUGGUAGCCAAAAUGUGAUGAAAGGGCAAUGACAUGUACAUUUGAACCAACAUGCUUUAACAUUUUUAAAGGACCAGUACUACAAGCUUGCAAUAUAACAUAAUCCCCAAUAUUAAAUUCAAAAUAUCGUUUAUGCGAAUCAGCUUGAAGUUUAUAUAAUGCAUUACUUGCGUCAAGGUGUUUAUUGAUCUCAAUAUGCAAGUCAUGAAGAUGACGUACAAAUGCCUCAGCUGACAUAGACAUACUAGUAUGUGAAGACAUUGGAAUAAGGUCUAAAGGUUUCCUAGACUUAUAACCAUGAAUAAUUUCGAUGGAACUCGUACUUAUAAAUCGAUGCACAAAAUUGUUAUAUGCAAUUUGAAUUGUUGGGAGGAUCAAAUCCCAAUUCUCAAGAUUUCCUUGAAAAGGACAUGAUUACACAAAUCAUCCGUACCUUUGGGUUGGCAAAGAGUAUGACACACAAUAUUUAACUGAGGAGUAUCGGGAACAAGGGGUACAACCCCUUAUUCAAGUCAUCACAUUCGUCAAAUUUAGGUUCAUAAAUUUGAUCUUUUAACGACUCUUCUAUUACAUCCUUUCGUUCUUCUAUGACUAAGGCUCAGUUAGGACAUUUGGAAGAGAUAUGGCCAAAGUCCUUACAGCUAAUGCAUAGCAGGCGAGAAGAAGUCCUUGGAAUUUCAAGAAUUUUACCCCUAUUUUCCAAGAUUUGAAGAACAUUAGACGAGGGAGGUCCUAGAAGAGACUUAAUGGGAGGAAUUGGAGCCAAUGAAAUAGACAAAUGGUUGUCAAUACGCCUUCUAUAAGGAGAAUGGGGCCUUGGACUAUCACGACCUUUACACUUAUUUUUUUAAAUAGGAAGAACACUAGACGGGCAAGGCUCUAUGACAGACUCAUAUUGAGGUGGCGCUAAUGACAUGGGAGAACGAUGGUGGUCACGCUUUUCAUAUGAAGUACUAAUAAGUAACUCGUAGUCUCGAGUUGAAGAGUAAGCGUGAUCAAAGUAGUGACGCCUCGAAAGAAAAGCUCACGCCUAAGUUCAUCUCUUAGACCUUGUAUAAACCUACUCAAAGUCAGGGCCUCAUCCUCAACGACAUGACAUUUCAUUCGAAAUUCCUCAAAUUGACUAGUCGAUUCCCUUGUGUAAGGGUGUUCCAUUGGGUAAAAAUUUCAUAAUCUAAGCAACUAUCGAAAGUAGGAGUAUCUAAGUCAAUGUCUCUAAAGAAACGCUCCUUACGAUGAGGAAGAGAAUGAGUACCAUGAUGACUAUGGCCCUGUUCUUGCUUUCAAACCUGAUCUCUAUUCCUAUGAUCGAGUCGAAAAUAUUUUUGAUCCCUUUGUCCACGAUAAUAUUGUCUAUUAUGAGACGCUUCAGAAUUAGUGUCAGUCAAACGAGGGGUUCGCUUAAAAUUGCUCAACUUAGCAGCUAGGUUCUUUCUCUCCUCACGAGUAGCAGUUAUAUCUGAUUGGACAAUCGAUAGGCUAGUGGUAAGUUGCGCUAAUUGUCUAGUAAGUGCAUCAAAUUGGGAUGGAUCCAUGAUCAAUGUAUUGAAAAUAGAGACAACAAAACGGCCACUACGUAACUACAUGCAAUGUAAUACUAGUUAAAUGACGUGAAAUGAUGAGAUCAAUGAAUAAUAAAUGCAAGCAGUGAAAAAUAACAAAUUAAGCAUUUUUUUCAGGGAUAAGUAAAUUCAAAUAUGGCAAGGUAAUACUGCUGAUCUAUGUAAAAUAAUAAAGCACAAAUCAAAUACUAGUCAAAACCUAAUCAUGUAAUAUAAGUGAGGUAAAAUAGGGUUUUGACGAAAUCAACGGAUUCAGUCAUGUGACUUUAGGUAUAUUGUUAGAAUAACAACAUCACAAAAAUUUAAUCAAUGCAAUUUUAAAUGAAGCAGUAUUAUAAACGCAAAUAGAGACAACCAUAAAACUUAUUCCAGAGGUUGAAAUUCUCCUAAAGGCCAUAUAAGAUGGAAGAUUAGACGGGUAUUUUAGAUUUACGGUUGUGCUAUAGGUAUAUCAUAACAUACAGAUUUGUUUACCAAUAUAUGAUGUGGCAAGAUUUGAUUGGGUCAAAAUCUCAUCAGCCAAAUAAAAAAAAAGCAAAAACUCCUCACUUUCUUUUUGAUACCUCAGCAAUAUGUAAAAGAUUGUGUAAAUGAUGAUAUACAACAGGUAUUUUCCUUAGAUCUUGAUGCAGGACGAAUUAAAAAAUAGAAAGAAGAAGCAAGAAAGAGAGGAGAACCGAAGAGAAUGGAGGGAGAAACCAGAGAAGAAGUAGAAAUUCAUGGGAAAGAGGAAGAGGGAGAGGAAGGAGAAACUACAGGCAACAAACCACCAAAAUAUUCUUCAAUUCAUAAAAACUAUUGAAAUUACAUCGCAAUUAGGUUUAAAUAGUAAAGACUAAAACUCUAAGUAGAAUGGACUUGGGCCAACACAAGCCCAAUUACAUAAAUAAAAUCUAAAACAUAAAUAAAGUCCAACUAAAAAUAAAUAAAAAGUAGAUGUCCUCAUCACUUCAG
rnacentral:lncRNA from 1 species